ACAUGUAAAACUAUUUUCAGCAAAUUUUGCUGAGGACAGCUUGCUGAGGACAACUUUCUCAAUCAGUUUAAUGCCGGAUUCGCACAAAGAUUAUUCUUGAAAGAUGGAGCAGUUCCCUCUUUGUCUGGAGAAGGUGUUGUUUAUGGACCACAACCGGCUUUCCAUGGUUUGAUCUCCAGUCUCUGAGGAUAGCUGCCCUCCUUCCUGUAAAGAGCCUCCAAUAAACACGGAGCCCCAAUGUGAACCGAUUCAAAAGAGCCCAGCUUCAUCUGGAAGAUCUUCCCAAACUUCUUAUGACCUCCUUUCCGGAGCAGCUCGAUGAGGCUUCCGAACAGCGGCCAGUUGGUUGGUCCAGGGAUGGAGUCGAGACUGUGCGCGCAGGGCUGCGCGCUCCCUGCAGCAUCCUUCGAGUCCAACACACACACGGAGGAUGUGGGCUUGCAGUGCUGAAGCCC